GUGGAUGUUCAAGCUAUCAGUGCUGUUAAUGCUUGGAAACACUCGGACUUCUUAUGCCGGAAUUACAUCAUGAACAGUUUGGCAGAUUCGCUAUACAACGUGUAUAGCACCAUGAAAACUGCUAAGGAGUUGUGGGAGUCUUUGGACCGAAAAUAUAAGACUGAGGAUGCCGGGGCUAAGAAAUUUAUCGUCGGCCGAUUCUUGGACUAUAAGAUGGUGGACUCCAAAACUAUAAUCAGUCAAGUGCAAGAACUCCAAGUGAUUCUUCACGAAAUUCAUGCCGAAGGGAUGAUUCUGAGUGAAACUUUCCAAGUGGCUGCAAUCAUUGAAAAAUUGCCUCCCGCGUGGAAAGAUUUCAAGAAUUAUCUGAAACACAAGCGAAAGGAAAUGAACGUUGAAGAACUGAUUGUUAGACUUCGAAUUGAAGAAGACAACAAGAGUUCCGAAAAGAAGUGGUUCAAUCCUGGUGCGGCUAAGGCCAAUAUUGUUGAACAUGGUCAAGGUAGUAAGAACUACAAAACCAAAGCUGGGCCAUCCGGUGGAAAAGGGAUCAAGCUGGGACCAAAAGGGGGCAUUCCUAAGAAGAAAUUUCAAGGGAAGUGCUUCAACUGUGACAAAGUAGGCCACAAAUCUUCGGAGUGCAGAUUGCCAAAGAAGAAGAAAGAAGCAAAUGUGGUUGACUACAUGGCACAUGAUGUGUCGGAGAUGAGUCUCGCAGCAGUCAUUUCUGAAGUGAACAUGGUGGGUUCUAACCCAAAAGAAUGGUGGAUUGACACCGGAGCUACGAGACAUGUGUGCUCUGAUAAAGAGUUAUAUACUGCUUUUGAAGCAGUUGAGAAUGGAGAGAAGUUGUUCAUGGGAAAUUCAGCAACUUCUGAAAUCAAGGGCCAAGGAAAAGUGGUUCUAAAGAUGACUUCGGGAAAAGAGCUGACUCUCAACAACGUGCUGUAUGUGCCGAAAAUCCGCAAGAACCUUGUGUCCGGGUCACUUUUGAAUAAGCAUGGUUUUCGCAUUGUGUUUGAGUCAGACAAGGUCAUCUUGUCGAAAAGUGGAAUGUUUGUCGGAAAAGGUUAUGUUUCCGAUGGAAUGUUUAAACUCA
rnacentral:lncRNA from 1 species